GUAGGCAUAGUUUAACAAAAAUACUAGAUUGUGAUUCUAGGGAUAGGGGUUAGACUCCUCUUGCCCACC
rnacentral:tRNA from 1 species